UUCACUUUAUGGCAUCAAAAAAUGAGGGAUCUCCCAAGGUUUUCGAAGUGCAUCAGGAGACCCCUUAUUUAUUUGAGUUCUGUGUUCACAGAACACAAAACUCAAAAUGAAAGGAAAAACAGAUGAGGCCGAGAGAGAGAGAGAGUGAUCGUCAUGUUGUUGUCGUUGUGUCGCUGAUGUUCGCCAUCGCAGUUAGGUUGCUCCGUCGCUCACUGUCCUCUCCUCGUCGUCCUAUUUGGUCGUCGCCACUCGGCACCUAGUUAUGGUAGCUUUUAAUAGUUUAUGAUUGAUUCAUAUGAGCAAGAGAUGCCUUCAGAGAAGUUAGCAAACUAAGAGCUAAUAACCUAGAAAAUGCUAACUGCUUAAUUGAAGAACGACGAACAAUGUCAAAGUUGCAUGCUCGAAAAAUGAAAAAAUGCCCAAAAAGUGAAAGAAAAUGCACGAAAGAUGGAAGAGAUGAGGAAGAUGAUUAAGGAAAUAAGUCAGGCACAUAGAGGACCAUGAACACUUGGGACAGGACGUCGAAAGUAAACACUUUUCCGACACUCUUUCCAUGACGUCAGAGAAUAUAUUUUCGAAGCUGCGUCAGAAGAAACUACUCUCAACGCCUUGAUGGGACAUCGGGAGUAAACAACUAUUGACGUCCAACAUCCUGUUUGCGCAUCAAGAAUAGAUCAUUCUCGACACUGUCCCAUUUGCACGUUAGAAAUUACUCUCCCAAUGCACUACUCCCAACGAUCUUCCUAAUGAAGCUUUUGACAUCCGAAGAUGUUUUCCUGAUGCCUUAGAGCGUUGGGAAUUUUCCUAUUCCUUGUAGUGCAUGCAUACAAAAGAAUGUUUGGCUUCAAACAUAUUUUUUUGUCGUGAAACACAAUGAAGAACAAGCAAUGCAACAUGUGUGGCAAUCCUAGCACACUUGAAAGCUUUUUGAGCUUAAAUAACAUUGCGAAGCAAGAAAAAUAUCCGCAAAAUAAAUCAAUAGGGCUUUGGAAAAGGAAGACAUCCAAGCGAAACAAAUUUGUAGAUUAAUAAAGUAAACAUGGAAAGGUAAUAUUCCACAAAAGCAGCGACCUUAGAGACCAUUGUUGCGACAAGAAUAUUCUAAAUCGUAUUUAGGGAUAACCACAGAAACAACUCAGCAAGCAAA